UACGUAGGGUGCAAGCGUUGUCCGGAAUUAUUGGGCGUAAAGAGCUCGUAGGCGGCUUGUUGCGUCGACUGUGAAAAACCCCGCAGCUUAACUGCGGGCCUGCAGUUGAUACGGGCAGGCUAGAGUUCGGUAGGGGGAGACUGGAAUUCCUGGUGUAGCGGUGAAAAUGCGCAGAUAUCAGGAGGAACACCGGUGGCGAAGGCGGGUCUCUGGGCCGAUACUGACGCUGAGGAGCGAAAAGCGU
rnacentral:rRNA from 1 species